GCCGACUCUGAUUGGACGAGGCUCGGAACACGGCCCCGCCUUAAGGUUCUGAGUGGAUGACAUUCCAGCCAAACACUGACAACGAGUCUUGAUUGGAUGGUUUCCCUCCAGACCCGCAGUCAUCAAGCGGGACCGGAGAAGCAGAGCUUUAUCCAAUCAGAGUCCGUGGAAGAUGUGUGACUAAGAUCUGGCCAAUCAGAACCGAGGAUUUACUUAUUUGAUAGAGUGGACUAGAGCAUCACUUUGACACAUAUGAUGACUGGAAUUGAACUCAGGACCUCUUAAAUGUAAGUCCAACAUCUUAUCCUCUGCACCACCUCCCAGCCUGGAACAUGCCAGAUUUCACUGCACUGGGCCACCUUUUUCAGCCAGAGAGUAAUAGAAUGACACACAAAGAGACAUCACAGCUCUGGGGCUUCUGAGAGUCAUAGCACUUCCUAUGUGGUGCCCAGCUGGAACACAGACUUGCAUGUAGGCACUUUACCAGGUGAAGUAUUUCUCCUGCCCUUUUGUUUCUUUUUUUUUUUUUUACCUUAUAUUUACUUUUUUUUUAAACUCAUAUUUACUUUGUCUUUCUUCUUAAUAAAUCACUUUAUUUGGGGGAAAUAAUGAUGAGUACAAUUGCUUUUUUUUUUUUUUUUUUUAACCAGAGCACUGCUCAGCUCUGGUUUAUGGUGGUGAUGGUGGUGGGAGGGAUUGAACCUGGGACUUUGGAGCCUCAGACAUGAGAGUCUGUUUGCAUAACCAUUAUGAUGUCUAUGAUUACAGUUUCUUAUCUCCCUGUGAUAGGCGCUUGCACAGCACAGCUUCCACGGACUGCAGGCACUGCAUCUCCAGCCCGUAGCCCAUCCCCCUUAGAGUCCUUGGCUCAGUGGUGGCAGACCACAGGUACUCCAUGUCACCCUGUGUUUUCUCUUGUUUAAAUUCCACCUGUAAGUGAUGUCAUCUGGUAGUCAGCCUUCUUCUAGCUUAGCUCAGUUAACAUAAUUCCUCUGAACUCCACCCAACAUGUAGCAGUGGAGAAGACUUCAUCGUGUUGAGAGCUGAGUUGUACUCAA